AACCUCCGCAAUGCGAGCAAUCGCGACGGGGGGACCCCAAGUGCCACUUUAACGGGGUGGCUUUUCUUAAGUGCUUUUGGAUAAGGGCUGGCAAGACCGGUGCCCGCCGCCGCGGUAACACCGGCAGCUCUAGUGGUAGCCAUUUUUAUGGGCCUAAAGCGUUCGUAGCCGGUUUGAUAAGUCUCUGGUGAAAUCGUAUAGCUUAACUAUGGGAAUGCUGAGGAUACUGUUAGGCUUGGGUUCGGGAGAGGUUAGCGGUACUCCCAGGGUAGGGGUGAAAUCCUGUAAUCCUGGGAGGACCACCUGUGCGAAGGGCGGCUAACUGGAACGACCUGACGGUGA
rnacentral:rRNA from 1 species